AGAAGAUAUCUAUUUCAAGUACAAUAUGUAUAAGACAAAUUAAAAAUAAGCGGUAGGCAAGGUCAAAUCAAACAUAUAAUUUUACAGAAACUAGCCUUAGACAAUAACUAAAACCAUGGAAAGGAAUGAUUUAUUCUGGAUAUUGGCUGCUAAAGAGCACUGACCCAUAUAUAGAAUGCUUUGGUAAGAAGAGACUCAAUUUCUUAGACUAAACCCCAAAGAUACAGACUUUUGAUGAAUUUAGAUAACAGAGGGUCACUUGAAUCUUCAUUUUAGGCACCUAUUUUGGAAAUGUGAGGAAAAAAGUCAGUUUAGUGGAAAUUGGAGGGCUUCCAAUAAAAACAGUCUUGUAAAUUCAUUCUUUGAAGACUCUUCUGCUCAAAAGCAAUAGCAAUGGCAGACUAAAUACAAAAAGAGAUGACUAAAAAGAUAGAGCCACAGUCAAAAAUUAGUUAAACAUCUCCAAGGACCAUAAAUACAAGAAAAGCAAAAUGCAAUAAGCAGGUUGGAAACCAUGGGGCCUGAAAGUCUUUAGAUCCAGAAGUCGACUGAGGCAACUAGAACUUCUAAUCUCUCAGCAGAACUGACUUCGUGUGAAAGACAAAGGCCAGACUUGCUGCCUGGAAGUGGAAGCAGGGCUCUCUCAUCUGUGUUGAGAAAGGCACUCAUCUGUGUAUCUAGCGAGACGGGAGAAAGUGGUCAUUUUAGAACAAGCCACCACAAGCCAGGUAAGUGCCUCUGCUUUACUUCUAGUAUCAUCAUAAAACAGGAGUCCUUGAUGUCCCAAUUAGGAUCUCAUUCUAGAUGACAAGUAUAUAGUAUUGAAUAAAGAAAGACUCAAGAACAUUAACAAGGAAGAAUGAGCAUAAAGGAGAGAAAACUCCCAUUCACAAGGAGUUGAAAAUUAAAAUUUCAAAACAUAAGAAGAAAAUGAAAAUUCUUUUUUAGGAAUGCUGCUUAAAAAGCAAGUGGAAGAUGAAUUCUUCCAGGUGAAAUGAAAACAUCAGAGCAAUUUGAAAACAUCAAAGCAGUUUUAAAAUGUCUCUAAAAUGCAUAUAUUUUGGACUUACAAAGAGAUGAAGAAGAAAGCAUAAUUUCUCAUGAGAAAUCAUGAAGCCAGAAGGAAGCAGCACAACGGUCUUCAAGUACUGAACAAAAUGAACUAUCAACUGUAGAAUUCAAUAUUCAGUAAAAUCAUCCUUUAGGAAUGAAAGAGAAAUAAAGUUUUUCUUUAUCCACCAUUAGACAAAGGAAACCAAGAGAAUUUGCCAGUAGCAGAUAUACCCUCACUAGCAGAUAUACCCUAAAUGAAUGGCAAAGGAAGUCCUCUAUAACCAGAAGAAAAAGGAUUGAAAAAAGGAGUCUUAGAACACCAGGAAGAAAAGAAGAAUAAUGGAAAAAGCAAAAAUGGCAAGUUGAGCAGUGAAGUGGCAGCCUGCUGUGUUGGGGUGAUGGCCUCACUUUUGUCAUAUUAAUGUGAGAUACAUAAGCAGAGUCUCACUGUGUCGCCCAGGCUGGAGUGCAACGGCGCGAUCUCAGCGGCUCACUGCAACCUCAGCCUCCUGGUUCAAGCAAUUCUCCUGCCUCAGCCUCCUGAGUAGCUGGGAUUGCAGAUGCGCACCAGUAUUAUCACAAUUUAAAAAAGGGUUUUGUAAAAUAUUAACUCUCAAUCUCCACUAAACCUAAAACAUCUCAUAUACACUCUAAUAUCAAAAAACAAAUGGUUUAACUGUAUUUAAACAGUGGGAAUAAACAUAGAGAGGUCAUUAUGUCAAUAUCAAGUUCACUCUAAUGUGUGAGUAAAUUUUAUGAUUAAGAAGUGUUGUCUAAUUGUUUUCUAAGGCAGUGGGACUCACCUAGCACAGCUGUGAAAAUUCCACAUCUUUUCACACUGAAGUUUAAAUUGAAAAAUAGAGGCCAUGUAAGUUUAUGAAGUAUGGUGAUAAAGUUAUUUCGUGACCGUUUUUUUUAAAUGUCUAUCAAUGGAAAUACUGUAACUGAUGUGGUGGUAAUAUUUAGCUACCAGAAAAAAACCAUGGCUAAGCCUUAUGAAUAUUAUCACUUCUCCCUGUAUAGGCCUGCACUGGAAAAGUCAUUCAUUCAACUACAGUAUUACACCUCUCAUGGUAACCAUUACUGGAGGCUGAUUCUUUACCUCUCCACCUCCUUUAAUCUGUAACAAGAGAGUGAUGGCUACAAUUCCACAGACUUUAAACACUGGUCAGCAUUUAAGUUUUUCUUCUAUCUUUCAGGAGGCACUAAGAACAUAUUUUGCACAAAAAACACUAAUAAGAUUGCAGAAUAAAAGUCUCAAUCAUGCAUAUAUUCUUUCCCCACUUCUUUUACUCUUCUGUUGAGUUAGUGCUUAAAACAAAAUACCGCACCUUUCUCCAUCAAUUUCCUCCAUGAAAUUCAAAGUAUUCAGGUGAGGAUAGGUUAUUUUCACAUCCAGCCUGUGUAUCUCGCUGCAUCAUGAGAAGCUCAGCUGCUGCUGUUGUUUUGUUUUUGUCUGAAGGCAGGAUGUGUUUGAUUCUCUUUUUAAAGUUACUCAAGAGAAAAUGUUGACUGCUGUAAUAAAAAUCUGGAUGAAAUUGUAGUACAAUGUGUUCUGAGACUCAUACUCUAGGAAAUGUAUGCAGAGUACACUGAGAUUAAUAAAUGAAGUGGAAAAAUCUUCUAUAUUAAAAUGUUUUUCUCUUGAAA
rnacentral:lncRNA from 10 species